AUUGAACGCUGGCGGCAGGCUUAACACAUGCAAGUCGAGCGAGGACUUCGGUCCUAGCGGCGGACGGGUGAGUAACGCGUGGGAACGUACCCUUUGCUACGGAAUAGCCCCGGGAAACUGGGAGUAAUACCGUAUGUGCCCUUUGGGGGAAAGAUUUAUCGGCAAAGGAUCGGCCCGCGUUGGAUUAGGUAGUUGGUGGGGUAAUGGCCUACCAAGCCGACGAUCCAUAGCUGGUUUGAGAGGAUGAUCAGCCACACUGGGACUGAGACACGGCCCAGACUCCUACGGGAGGCAGCAGUGGGGAAUCUUAGACAAUGGGCGCAAGCCUGAUCUAGCCAUGCCGUGUGAGCGAUGAAGGCCUUAGGGUUGUAAAGCUCUUUCAGGGGGGAAGAUAAUGACUGUACCCCCAGAAGAAGCCCCGGCUAACUCCGUGCCAGCCGCCGCCGUAAAAC
rnacentral:rRNA from 1 species